rnacentral:lncRNA from 1 species
AACAAUGCUCAGCUCUUGAAAGAGAUUAUUAGAGACUCAAGAUCCUAUAUGGAGCAUGAUCUCAAAAUCGAGCACUUCAUCCGAAGAGAAAAAGAUAUCUUUAUCAAAUUUAAUUUUGCUAUUAGCUAAAGAUCUUGGGAAUGAUGCCAAAUAAUGUACCCAUAGGUAGUUAUAGUCUACAGCAUGUGUAGUCAUAACUAUCGCAUUCGCACUCUAUGAGUUACUUGGCUUUGUCUAUGACUUGUAUAGAUAAAGCUAUUUGUAGAAACUUUACGCAU